CCUACGGGUGGCAGCAGUGAGGAAUAUUGGUCAAUGGCCGGAAGGCUGAACCAGCCAAGCCGCGUGAAGGACGAAGGUGCCAAGCAUUGUAAACUUCUUUUGUCAAGGGACAAAAUCAGGCUCGAGAGCCUGACCGAGGGUACUUGAAGAAAAAGCAUCGGCUAACUCCGUGCCAGCAGCCGCGGUAAUACGGAGGGCGCGAGCGUUAAUCGGAAUUACUGGGCGUAAAGCGCGCGUAGGCUGUUGUGUAAGUUGGGGGUGCAAUCCCACGGCUCAACCGUGGAACAGCCCUUGAUACUGCGCGACUUGAAUCCGGGAGAGGGUGGCGGAAUUCCAGGUGUAGGAGUGAAAUCCGUAGAUAUCUGGAGGAACAUCAGUGGCGAAGGCGGCCACCUGGACCGGUAUUGACGCUGAGGCGCGAAAGCGUGGGGAGCAAACAGGAUUAGAUACCCUGGUAGUC
rnacentral:rRNA from 1 species